rnacentral:rRNA from 1 species
UACAGGGGGGGCAAGCGUUGUUCGGAAUUACUGGGCGUAAAGCGCACGUAGGCGGCUAUUCAAGUCGGGGGUGAAAGCCCGGGGCUCAACCCCGGAACUGCCCUCGAAACUAGGUAGCUAGAAUCUUGGAGAGGUCAGUGGAAUUCCGAGUGUAGAGGUGAAAUUCGUAGAUAUUCGGAAGAACACCAGUGGCGAAGGCGACUGACUGGACAAGUAUUGACGCUGAGGUGCGAAAGCGUGGGGAGCAAACAGG